rnacentral:rRNA from 1 species
GUAGGGUGCAAGCGUUAAUCGGAAUUACUGGGCGUAAAGCGUGCGCAGGCGGUCGUGCAAGACAGGUGUGAAAUCCCCGGGCUUAACCUGGGAACUGCACUUGUGACUGCUCGACUAGAGUACGGCAGAGGGGGAUGGAAUUCCGCGUGUAGCAGUGAAAUGCGUAGAUAUGCGGAGGAACACCGAUGGCGAAGGCAGUCCCCUGGGCCUGUACUGACGCUCAUGCACGAAAGCGUGGGGAGCAAAC